rnacentral:rRNA from 1 species
AAGUCGUAACAAGGUCUCCGUUGGUGAACCAGCGGGGGAUCAUUACCGAGUUUACAACUCCCAAACCCAUGUGAACAUUACCUCUAUGUUGCUUCGGCGGAGCCGCCCCGGCGCCCGGAACCCCCUGCGGUCCCGCGGCCCGGAACCAAGGCGCCCGCCGGAGGCCACAAACUCUUCUGUUUUUACAGUUUCUUCUGAGUGUGCCGCAAGGCAGUAUACAAAUGAAUCAAAACUUUCAACAACGGAUCUCUUGGUUCUGGCAUCGAUGAAGAACGCAGCGAAAUGCGAUAAGUAAUGUGAAUUGCAGAAUUCAGUGAAUCAUCGAGUCUUUGAACGCACAUUGCGCCCGCCAGAAUUCUGGCGGGCAUGCCUGUUCGAGCGUCAUUUCAACCCUCGAGCUCCCCUUUCGGGGGGAGCCCGGCGUUGGGGACCCGGCGCUAACAACGCCGGCCCCGAAAUGGAGUGGCGGCCCGUCCGCGGCGACCUCUGCGUAGUAACAACCACUCGCACCGGGACCCGGGCGCGGCCACGCCGUAAAACACCCCACCUUCCGAAUGUUGACCUCGAAUCAGGUAGGAAUACCCGCUGAACUUAA